AUGCAAGUCGAGCGGAAACGAGUUAUCUGAACCUUCGGGGAACGAUAACGGCGUCGAGCGGCGGACGGGUGAGUAAUGCCUGGGAAAUUGCCCUGAUGUGGGGGAUAACUAUUGGAAACGAUAGCUAAUACCGCAUAACGUCUACGGACCAAAGAGGGGGACCUUCGGGCCUCUCGCUUCAGGAUAUGCCCAGGUGGGAUUAGCUAGUUGGUGAGGUAAUGGCUCACCAAGGCGACGAUCCCUAGCUGGUCUGAGAGGAUGAUCAGCCACACUGGAACUGAGACACGGUCCAGACUCCUACGGGAGGCAGCAGUGGGGAAUAUUGCACAAUGGGCGCAAGCCUGAUGCAGCCAUGCCGCGUGUAUGAAGAAGGCCUUCGGGUUGUAAAGUACUUUCAGUCGUGAGGAAGGCAAUAUAGU
rnacentral:rRNA from 1 species